rnacentral:sRNA from 1 species
CCACUGCUCCCCACAAGAGCCACAACUUUGCCUGCCGGUAUGGAUAGUGAAAAACUUCUGAGAAUUGGCUUGUCGACUCUGGAUGGAUACAUGAAAUCCACCUCUCGAAUUUCAAUAUUUCCAGUGACCUUUUCUAGGAUUGUUCCAUUUGAUUCAUAACUUAUCGCUGGAUUUCUAUUGAUAACCUCAAAUACUUCUUUGCCAGCAGCUUUUGCUUGGCUGAAGGACUGAAGAUCUGGUGCUGCAUUUGAGAUAUAUCUGAAACCACAUAUAAAAAUAAUGACCCUGUCAACUUUAUAGAAGUAAAAUGUUUGGAAGUAGUCUAAUUUAUGAUAACCAUGGAAUACAAACUAGAAAGAUAGUUCUUUAUUACAUUGCGGCAGAGAGGAUGUUAAUGACAGCUGCAAUUCAGACCUACUUGGUUCUAAUAUUUCAUCCAUUUGUAUAGGUACCUGUUCUACAACUGUGGUUGCUGCAGAGACCAAAGCUAUUCUUUUCAUCGAUGCGUCAAUCAUCAUUUUUGCAUAUGUUGCGCCAACCAUGAGGAGCAUAGGAACAACCAGCAUGGAGAGCAUACCCACCUCCCAGCAGCAGACGAAAGCAACAAUGAUGGAAACUAAGAAUGUGGAGAAGUUUGACAAAAAGUGACCAAGCUGAGGGAAAAAGGUAAGCUCAUGUUCAAUAUUUGAUUGCCACAUGAACGUUGUAGCACUUUAGUUUGAUUUACUAAAACUUGCAGUGAAUGUUUAUGCUACAAUCGUAUACCUUUUCACCAAUUGCAUCUUGUAUAGCACUCAUAUGGUUGGUUGCUCCAGCCAUGACGUUUGCUGUGGUUAGGUCAGUAUCAAAAGCUCCGAUAUCUUGACUCAGCACUGAUCUCAAGUAUGCCAUCCGCAUGCGUGACAUUUGUCUCUGACUGGUAUACAUCCAACAUGUAAUUUCUGCGGAAGGAUCAUUGUCGCAAAAAGGUAAGAUGG